rnacentral:lncRNA from 1 species
UUUUUUUUUUUUCUUGUUAUGGCUACACCUGCAGCAAAUGGAAGUUCCUGGGCCAGGGGUCAAAUCAGAGCCGCAGCUGCUGUCCUAUGUCAUAGCCAUAGCAACACAGGAUCUGAGCCAUAUCUGCAACCAACACUGAAGCUUGUGACACCACCAGAUCCUUAACCCACUGAGUGAGGCCAAGGAUCAAACCUGCAUCCUCAUGUAGUCUAUGUUGGAUUCUUUUUUCUAGGGCCACACUUGCAGCAUAUGGGGUUUCCCAGGCUAGGGGUCUAAUCAGAGCCAAAGCCGCUGGCCUAGGCCAAAUCCACAGCAACACGGAAUCCAAGCCACGACUGCGACCUACACCACAGCUCACAGCAACUCCAGAUCCUUAACCCGUUGAGCAAGGCCCGCAACCUGAUAGUUCCUAGUCAGAUUCACUAACCACUAAGCCACAACGGGAACUCCUAUGUUGAGUUCUUAAUCUUCUGAGCCACAAUGGGAACUCCCCCACUUGAUUUUUUGUUGCUUUUGCUUUUGAAGAUUUUAGCAUACACAUAAGUAAAAUGAAUGACAGGAACACCAUGAAGGAUAGGAGCAAGGAAUUGAGAAUAUUUGGUUAUAAAAUACUUGAACAAUAAGGUGAGGGAUAAUAUGAUUUGAAGGUAGACAUGUUAAUCAAAAAUUAUAAACUCUAGAGAAAUCAAUAAAAUACCUAUAAAACAUGUUUAUUUGAUGAUCAUGUAUACUGUAUAUUUCUAAGAGAAGAAAUAAAGUGAGACCAUAUAAUAUGCUCAAUUAUGAUGAGAGAAAUUAGAAAAAGAAGGCUCUGACAAGAAUUAAUUUAAAAACUACAGUUAAUAUUAACCCAAACACAUCAAUAUCCCUUUAAAUGGCUAUGUUCUAAAUACACCAACUUGAAGAUAAAGAUUUUCAGAGCAGAAAAAAAAACUGCUAUUUAAAAAACUAUUUCAGUAGUUCUCUGGUGGUGUAGCAGGUUAAGGAUAUGAUAUUGUCACUGCAGUGGCUCAGGCUGCUGCUGUGGCGCAGGUUCAAUCCCCAGCCCCAGAAUUUCAAAAUGCUGUGAGUUCAGCAAAAACAAAACAAAACAAAACAACAACAAAAAACUAAACAAAAAUGAUUAAGAAUGUAAACAUUCUAAUAGGAUAAAUUUGUAUAAAGGUGUAGUGAUUUAUCAUGCUAAGACCAAACAAAAGAAUGCUGGAAGAGCAAUACUAGUUUCAGACAAAAUAAACUCAGAACAAAUCAAAUUAACAAGGAUAAAGAGGACAUAACACAAUGAUAAAGGGGACAAUUCUCCAAGAAGGCAUAACAAUCCUAAAAGUGUAUACACCUAACAAUACAGCAUCAAAAUACAUGAGGCAAAAACUGAUAGAACUAAAAAGAGAAAUAGGCAAAUAAAUGCACUAUAUUAGUUGAAAAUUAAAAUGCUCUUCUUGUCAGUAAUUAAUGGGUCAAGUAGGCAGAAAAUCAAUAAAGAGAGAGUGGACCUGAAGGUCACUAUCAGUCAUCUUGAUGUAAUGGAUAAUUUUAGAAUAUUUACUUCAGUAACAGCUGAAUAUUCAUUCUUCCCAAGUUCACAGGGAACAUUCACUAAUAAAGCCCACAUUCAGGCCCAUAAAACAUACCUUAAUAGAAGGAAUAGAAAUCAUACAGAGUGUGUUCUCCAACCACAAUGGAAUUAGGAAAUCAAUAACAGGAAAUUGCCCNGCUGGAAAACCACCAAAUAUUUGGAAAUUAAAUGGUAAAUUUCUAAAUAACAAAUAACGCAUACAUCAAAUAAGAUGCCUCAAGAGCAAUUAAAACACCUUUGAAACUAAAUGAAAAUAAAAUAGAACAUCGAAAUUGUCAUAUUAUAAAAAUAGUACAGUGCCUAAAGGAAAAUGCAUAACAUUUAGUGUACACAACAUAAAAGAAAAAUCCAAAAUUGAUAAUCUAAGUUUCCAAUGUAAAAGAUUAGAAAAAGAUGAUCAAUUUAAAGCAAGCAGAGGAAUAAAAUAAUUAAUAAUUAAAAUUAGAGCACUUGGCAUGAAAUUGAAAACAAAACAAUAGCGAAAAUCAACAAAACUAAAAGGCAGUUCUUUGAAAAGAAUCACAAAAUUUACAAGCCUCUAGUCAGGCUAACAAAUAUAAAAAGAGAAAAGACAUAAAUUAUUAAUAUAAGAGCUGAAAGACGGUUAUCACUGCCAACUCCCUGAAUUUAAAUGAUAGUUUAAAAAAUAUAAACAGCUUCAUGUCCACAAAUUUUAUAAUUUAGACAAAAUAAAUCAAUUAUUUGAAAGACACAAAGUGUCAAGACUAAUACAAAGGUAAAUUAUUUGGAUAAUUCAUUAUCUAGGAAAGAAGUUAAAUCAUAGCCAAUAAGCUUCCAAACUAAUAACUCACCAGAUUCAAAUGAUUUUGCUGGUAAAUUCUAGAAAUAUUUAAGGGAGAAAAAUGGCACCAAGUCUCUAAAAUCUCUUCCAGAAAAAGAUGUAGAGAAAGCAUAUCUUGUGCUCUGAGAACAGCAUUACCCAACAUCCAAACAGAUAAAGAUACCAUAAGAAAGGAAAACUACAGACCAAUAUCUCUCAUGAAUAUAGACAAAAAAAAAAAAAAAAACCCUCAAAAAAUAUCAACAGAAUGAAUUCAAAAUGUAUAAAAAUGUCAUGCACCAUGACCAAGUGAGACCUAUUCCACAAGUGAAAGGCUGUCUCUACAUCGGAGAAUUAAUCAAUAUAAUCAAUGUAAAUAGAGAAUUUAUAUUAUCAUAUCAGUGGAGUCAUACAAGCAUUUAACAAAAUCAGAAGUUCAUUCAUAAUGAAAAUUGACAUCACACUAGGUAUCAAGGGGAAUUCUUGGCAAUUUGUUUUUCAGCUGCAUCCAUGGCAUGUGGAAGUUCCUGGACCAGGGAUCGAACCCACUCCAUAGCAGCAACCCAAGCCACUCCAGUGAUAAUGCUGGGUGCUUAACCCACUGCACCACAAGUCCUGGAAUUCCUCAAUUUGAUAAAGA